GGAACUUCCGCAAUGGACGAAAGUCUGACGGAGCACGCCGCGUGAGUGAUGAAGGUUUUCGGAUCGUAAAGCUCUGUUGUUAGGGAAGAACAAGUGCCGUUCAAAUAGGGCGGCACCUUGACGGUACCUAACCAGAAAGCCACGGCUAACUACGUGCCAGCAGCCGCGGUAAUACGUAGGUGGCAAGCGUUGUCCGGAAUUAUUGGGCGUAAAGGGCUCGCAGGCGGUUUCUUAAGUCUGAUGUGAAAGCCCCCGGCUCAACCGGGGAGGGUCAUUGGAAACUGGGGAACUUGAGUGCAGAAGAGGAGAGUGGAAUUCCACGUGUAGCGGUGAAAUGCGUAAAAAUGUGGAGGAACCCCAGUGGCGAAGGCGACUCUCUGGUCUGUAACUGACGCUGAAGAGCGAAAGCGUGGGGAGCGAACAGGAUUAAAUACCCUGGUAGUCCCCCCCGUAAACCAUGAGUGCUAAGUGUUAGGGGGUUUCCCCCCCCUUAUUGCUCCACCUAACCCAUUAAGCCCNCCCCCUGGGGAGUACGGUCGCAAGANUGAACUCAAAGGAAUUGACGGGGGCCCCCGCAAGCGGGGAGCAUUUGGUUAAUUCGAAGCAACGCGAAGAACCUACCAGGUCUUGACAUCCUCUGACAAUCCUAGAGAUAGGACGUCCCCUUCGGGGGCAGAGUGACAGGUGGUGCAUGGUUGUCGUCAGCUCGUGUCGUGAGAUGUUGGGUUAAGUCCCGCAAUGAGCGCAACCCUUGAUCUUAGUUGCCAGCAUUCAGUUGGGCACUCUAAGGUGACUGCCGGUGACAAACCGGAGGAAGGUGGGGAUGACGUCAAAUCAUCAUGCCCCUUAUGACCUGGGCUACACACGUGCUACAAUGGACAGAACAAAGGGCAGCGAAACCGCGAGGUUAAGCCAAUCCCACAAAUCUGUUCUCAGUUCGGAUCGCAGUCUGCAACUCGACUGCGUGAAGCUGGAAUCGCUAGAAUCGCGGAUCAGCAUGCCGCG
rnacentral:rRNA from 1 species